CCUCUCCCAUCUUCUUCCUCCUCAAACCUUUGCAGCCCUCACCACCCAAAACCCUAGCUGCCCCCCCCCCCCCCAUUUCUCCCCCUCCUCCCAAUGUGCAGCCCUCCCGUGUGGUUCUCCGUCGUGUGGCUGCGAUCUCAAUUGGAGUUUGGAGGGAGGAAGAAGGAAGGAGGAAGGGAAGAACCUAAGGUGAAUUUGUGAUUAACUUUUGUUGUUUUUGUGCUGCAAUCAAUUGGAUUAUGUGUUUAUCUUUGCGAAUCGGUAGAGGUGCUGUCCAGGAAUUUUGUGAGUGGGUGAACAGCAGUAGUUCUAGGGAUUUCUGGGAAUUUUCGUGGGGUAAUUAGUGGGAAUCAGUGGGAUAAUCAUGUAGAGCUUUGUCAUACCUUUCCAACGAGUACUUAUGCGCUCGAUUCGGAGUUAUAAUUUAGGAGAUAUCGUUGUUUGAAUCCGGGUAUGUUGCUGUCCAAAAAAAAAGAUUUUUCAGGUGGGUGAACAGCAGUAGUAUUAGCAGUUUCUGGGAAUUUUUCGUGGGUAAUUAGUAUUAACCAGUAUUAUAAUCAUGUAGGGCUUUGUCUUAUCUUUCCAAUGAGUACUUAUGUGCUUGAUUUGGAAUUAUAUUUUAAAAGAUAUCGCUGUUUGAAUCCGGGUAUGUUGCUGUAAAAAAAACAGAUUUUUCAGGUGGGUGAACAGCAGUAGUAUUAGCAAUUUCUGGGAAUUUUUCGUGGUUAAUUAGUGCUAACCAGUAUGAUAAUCAUGUAUGGCUUUGUCUUAUCUUUCCAAUGAGUACUUAUGCGCUUGAAUUGGAAUUAUAUUUUAAAAGAUAUCGCUGUUUGAAUCCGGGUAUGUCGCUGUCCAAAAGAGAAAAAAAAAACAGAUUACAGGGUUCAUCUUGUGAACUGUUUUGGGCUAAUUAGAUGUUGGAAUUUAAUUAUAAAUUGUAUACAAAACUUGUGGGGAAUUUUAUGUAGAUGCCUCGGGAGUUUUUGUUUGUUACCAAUGCUGUCAUAAUUUUGAAGUUAUGAAAUUAUUAAGCAGCGCCGCUGCAGUUUGGUGGGUGUGGGGAGAGAUGUAACCCGCGGCGGGGUUUGAGUUUGUGCGUAGGUGCGGCGUCGUUUAUGAGCCUGGUUAUGUGAAAUUGGUGCACUAAGUUGUGUGUCAAAAACAGGUGGUGGACUACCGGAUCGUACUUAGGAAUUUGCCCAAACUUCCGGUAAAGGCAAGUAAAUACAGUGGUGGUUGCUACCGUUUGGUUUGCAUCCUAUUCCCUGUCAUUGAGUAUGCAUAAGUUUUAAAUAUGUUAAUCAUUGAAUUCUAUGAUGAAGUUUAUUUGUUCGAAAGUAUUAAUUCUCAAUUGUCUAAUAUUGUGGAUGAUCAUGAUUUGGUAAUGAUAUAUGUGGUUGAUUCCUAUCAUGGAUGGAGUUGAAGUAUUUUUUUUGAAUCACGCUAUAUGAAGUGUUGUAGGCAUGUCAUGCACAUUGCAUCAUCCAUCUUGCAUUCUGAAGUUAUGUCGUGAUCUUAUGGUCCGACUGUACCGGUACAUUUUUAGCAUCGUACGUUGCCCGAGGAGGGGUACGAUGCGGCUUCAUAUCCUUAGAGGUAUGAAGGCAGAAGUCAUCCUUGCAUUUGCAGACAUUUGCACUCAUGAGGUAUAUAUAUGAAGAGUGACAUUACUAUGUUACUAUUGUGGUUUCUACCUGCGAGGUGUGGUAGCUAGGAGUGUUGUACGUUGUAUACGUGCUGCACCUUUGUAAUAAGAAGGUUGUGAAAUCAAGUGGUGGUAAAACAAUAUUCUUAUGUGGUUAAACAGUUUGAUAUUAUUUUACUUGUUGAGAUGUGUCAUCUCACUCUUGCAUUACUCAAUGCAGGUACUUGAUACAUGUUGGGAAUGAGGGGAGUAGCAGCACGUCCACUUUCACUCUCAUAAUAGCGCUGCCCAGGCGUAGCCAUGAUUUAAUUAGAAACUUGUUGUCAAAAGAAGUUUAUUUUUUUGCUAGUCGUGCGCACUGGUUAAUUCAAUUCAUGUCGUAUGUUUAACUUCCCUUUGCUAGCCGAUUAAUAAUACUUGGUAUGUUUUGUCAUGAUAUAUGUUUAUACACUGUUGUCCCCCCCUCAUUUAUGCAAUUUUGCAAAGGAGAUGCUGCCAAAAUUUUAUAUAGAUGUCAGAAGUGUAGUUCAGUAGCAUUUCGGGGUGUUUGUGGACCCCGGGGUGUUACAGUUGGUAUCAAAGGAUAGGCUUUAGAUUCUACGCAAUUUGAAGAUAAAUUUGACACACUUGCACAUAUAGGAAGGGUAUGGGUUCGUAUAUCUUUCAUAUUAGUAUUUUAUUGUAUAGAUGACUAGAACUUCCUUACUCCAAAUUCCUUUAUGGUUUGAUGGGGUACGUCAUUAAUGACGUAAUGCUUGAUAUGAUAUGUUAUUUCUAUUUAAUAUUGGUUUCUUGAUGUGGUUGUUAUUGAAGAUAUUAUGCAAGUGAAGCUACUACUGUACUUGUUUUAUAUACAUAUUGUCAUGAUGUUUUUUUGAUGCAAUGUUUUCAAAUCUCUGAGCUAUUACUAUCAUAUAUUUCUAUAUGCUUGACUGUGGAUGUUUUUUUCCAAAAGGAUUCUUGGGUUCUAGUACUUGUAGGACCGAUUGUUUAUUGAGCUUGUCUAUAGUGGGUCUAAUCCGACUUGGUGUAGUGUGAAAACACUAUAUAAUGUAGUUUUAUGGUGUUGUUGAGUUUGAUUGACUGUUGGGUUACAACCCAACUUAUCAAUGUAAUAUUUCCAUGGGUGCAAUGCUUUGCACCUCACUUUUUUGGCUAGUGUGGCUACUUGCUAACUUGAUCUUAGUAUAAAAUUGGUUUGUCUCUAUAGAGCAAAGGCAACAUUGUAAUGUCUAUGAAAUCUUGAGACUGGUAGAACUCAAGUGAAUUUGUAAGAUGACGUAGAUUGAUAAGUCCAACCAUGUUUACCUGAUAGGUUUUCUUAUUAUGUGCAACCUUAUUUUUUUAACAAUAAAUAGGGUGGUUUCAAGUGGAUUUUAUGUCGUGCAUGUUUUCCUUCUAUGGUUUGUUUCAAUAGCCAUAAAGGCUAUGCAUAAUUUUUAGUUGUUGCAGGCUAGUCAUGUGGACGAUAUUGACAACCCAUUUUAUUUUUUUUAUUUGCCAACAUUGUAUGGUAGUUUGAUUUUUUUUUAUGAUCAGUUUCUCUAUGCAUGCUUGUUGAAUCAUUAUUUGGACCGCUUUAUCUUAAACGAAGUCAAUGCUUAACUGGGAGUUGCUUAUGUUUGUUAGUCAUCUAUCUCUUUAAUGAUGGGGUUGUUGCAUCAGAUUGAGAUUUUUCUUAUUUGAAUGAUGGUUUGAUAGAUCAUGUAUGUCUACUACUUUGAAUGCAUCCUGUGAUAUCACGAGGUACAAAUUGUUCAAGUGCAGUAAUAGUAGGUUUUGUUGUAUGUGAGGUUAAUCAAGGUAGUUUGGUUAUGUGGAUUGUCUUAUUGACAUCCAAUUACUCCUGAGGAGCAUAGUAUCGUGUUGCUAUUUUAGUAUUGAAAGUAAUAUUUAUGAAGCUUUUGCAUGAGUCUGUAUCAAGAAGUAUAUUAGUUUUUCUUGUUGUUAUCCCUCCAUUGCUUUAUGAGUAUUGCAAAUUUUAUCUCUUUUGAGAGGAGGAAAAGACGUUACAUGACAUGAGCACCAUUUGCUUCACGUCAACAGAAUAGUUGUGGAGAGCUCUAAUAGUUGGAUUCUAGUGUAAUAACAACCAUGUCUUAUAGUGCUAGAGACGGGUAUGUCAGGUGUUUCAUACAUUGUCGAUACAUGGAUGUUUGACCUUAGUGGCAUUAACAAACGAGGUUGUUUAAUUCGUUGAUUGUUGUGCUUAGUGUUCUAACCUAUUAGGUAAAGUGUUGCUUAAAGGCUUUAGGGAGUUGCAUCCCCAUUUGGUAGUGGAAAAUCCUAGUGUUGAUCGCACCUGCCAAUGCCUUGGGUUUUAUUUUAUAUUGUUUUUUUAUUAUGGGUAAGGUGUUGUUUGGUUUUGGGAGUCAUUUUAAAUUAGUUGGAGGCUGAAUCAGGCUUCACUUAUCUAAAAUGUUUUGUAGUAGGCUUCUUCAUCUUUGCAUAGGAUGCUCAAUCACCCAGUUUGGUCUAAUCAUUGGAGAGUUAUGGGUUUCCUAUAGCAGCCUUAAUUUUGUACGGAAGUAUAGACAUUGAAGACGGUAAAUUUUGGUUUUUGUUGGAUUAUGAAAGUUUUAGUAAUUUCAUGAUCUUUCCAAAGAUUAUUGGUUUGUAAUUUUCAUUGCAUAUAAUUGGAGUUAGGCUACUCUGAAGUUGUUACACCGUUGUGUCUGAACUUUAGGUGUCGUUAAAACCACCAAUAAAUCGACCGUGUUCUGAUAGUUUCAGAGCCCAAAUUUGGGAAUUCUCUUUAAGAAAAACUUUUAGUUUUUCUAAGUACCUUUUAAUGGGUAUUUACUUGUAAUUGCCUAUUAAAUAGAUUGGGAGAGGUGGUUGUCCGGAUAUAAGUCGAAUCUCUGAUGUGCAGUAUCUCAGGUUGAGUUUAGCUAUAGGUCAUGCAGAGUUGAGGGUUAUAAAGAUAAAUUUGGGUGCAACUUUAUUGCAAAAGUCGUGGACAAUUUCCAAACUUUUCCAACGCAUGUUCGUUGUAGUUUUAAGUUGAGUAUAGCAGGAGUUAUAGGAUUUUGAAUUUUAGUUGUCCAAUAUUUCUAUCCUAUCAGUUUUGCAACAAAGCAGUUGCAUUGUUUUAUCGGUUUGGAAACCAAUUCUGAGACACUCAUUAUAAUAAAAGUUUAGGGAAUGUUAUAACCUUUCCAAUGAGUUUGUAUUUUCAAAAUUUUGUUAGAUGCAGAUUGGGUGAGUUAUUGGAUGGAUAUAUAUGCAUAGUAUAAUUAAAAAAAAGUGUUCUUCGAUGGAAUGAUAUAAUGUAUAGAAUAUGCUUGGAUGGAUAUAUGGGCAGGCGUAGUAUGCUUAAAUCGAUUCUUGCUUCCAUGAUGUGAGAUAAGGCUUAAAAUGAUUUAAAAAGUUAGCAUAUGGCUUCUAUCUUUAUGUUGGCUCUGAGUGUCUCGUAAUGAAGAACCUAAAGUUAUUAGUCCUUCGAUGAACGCUUAAUCUUAGAAGAGUAUAGAACCUGAAUAAAUCUAUUGCUUGCUGUUUGGGACUACAUGACCAGUUUUGGUUAUGCAGCUAGUUCAAUGAAUUAAACCAUGUUUUCUGUAGAGGUGUUGUAUAUAAAAGUUGUAGCCAACUUCUUCAUCUUACUUGUGUAAAAUUUCAUGACCAUAGGUCUAGUAGUUUGGGAGUUAUGAUUUUCUCAAGUCUAGUCUUGGAAUCUGUCCAGAUUCUGUACAGAUUUUGAAACUGACCUUGUUUGCCCAAGUUAAACUUUGAAUCAGUUCUUAUAAAUUAUAAAGAAAUGGAGUACUUUCCUUAAGAUUUCCAACAAAUAUUGGAUCACCCUUUUUGGUGACCUAUAAGUUAAGCUACAGCUGUUUUAAGUGGAAUCUUUGAAUCUGUCCAAAUUUGGACAGCAAAGCCUUUCUUAUGUCUUUUGACCUUGAUAUGCAUUGAAUUAACCUGAUAUGUUUAUAAAUGAAAUAUAGACAAUUUUACUGGCUUUCAAAAAAGUCUAGGAGCGCCUAAAUUGGAUGACUGAGACUCCAAUUAUGGAUUUUUUUAAGUGAGUAGUUGAAUUCUGUCCAAGUCUGGACAAAAUUUACGUUUCGCAUUGUUUGUCCUUUCUAAGUGUCAAAUCUUGUGGUGAUGAUAAUACCAAGGGUAUAGUGGACUUUGUAAGCUUUCCAUAAAGUCCUACUUUACUACUGUUGGAUGCAUAUUUUGUGAGUUUAUGAGCAAAACAAUUAACCGUUGUGCUGAUGUCUAGAAAUAUGCAAGCAUUAAAUUGAUCUUUUGAAGUUACUCUUGUUUGGAUAGGUUUGGUUUAGGCUAUUGGAGCACAGUAUGUAUUGCUUUCAUUAUAUAUAUUCAUUGAAGUACUUGCAUGUGUCAAUGUUGAUUUGGUGUCAGGAAAACUUUGUCCGGGUUAUAUAGGACUGUCUAUUAUCUUAGCCCGAGUUGGAAGCUUGGCUUAGCACAUGCAAUUGUCGGAGUCUAUGAUCAGAGUACGCCAUGUAUUCCAUGUCUCUAUGUUGAGAAAGUAUUUGCGGAAUCCAUAUCAAUAAUCGAGCUAGAGUCGAUUCCCAUGUAGCAAGACCUGACUCUAGAGUGUCGUCUGCUGCGUAUCCUAGAAUCCUUGAAGCUCGAGGAGCUGAUGCGGCAGAAGUACCCCGAACUUUUCGUUAUGGGGUGAGUUUUUGUUGUCGCUGAUCUUUCCUUGUCAUUUCGAUAGAAGCGUCGGAAUUCGAGGUCGAAUUCUUUUUAAGGGGGGUAGAGUGUGAUACCCGGUUUGCAAAGAAGAGAAGUUGAAGGUUAUUCUUUUUGUUUGUUUCUUCUCUUAUUCGGGUGUCGCGCUUUGGGGAUUUAGAAUUUGUGGAAAACAUUCACCAGUAUAGCAGUAGAGUGGUUGGUCGGGAGCUGUCGUGCAAGCGAGUUGGGCCGCGAAUUGCAAUCCGGCCCACUAACCCUCCCCUAACCCUAGCCCCCCCCUUUUUCCCCCUUGGGUUGUUGCAGCCGCCCCUUCCCCUCCCCUUUCUCUUGGACGCCCCCCCCCUCUCCCAUCUUCUUCCUCCUCAAACCUUUGCAGCCCUCACCACCCAAAACCCUAGCUGCCCCCCCCCCCAUUUCUCCCCCUCCUCCCAAGGUGCAGCCCUCCCGUGUGGUUCUCCGUCGUGUGGCUGCGAUCUCAAUUGGAGUUUGGAGGGAGGAAGAAGGAAGGAGGAAGGGAAGAACCUAAGGUGAAUUUGUGAUUAACUUUUGUUGUUUUUGUGCUGCAAUCAAUUGGAUUAUGUGUUUAUCUUUGCGAAUCGGUAGAGGUGCUGUCCAGGAAUUUUGUGAGUGGGUGAACAGCAGUAGUUCUAGGGAUUUCUGGGAAUUUUCGUGGGGUAAUUAGUGGGAAUCAGUGGGAUAAUCAUGUAGAGCUUUGUCAUACCUUUCCGACGAGUACUUAUGCGCUCGAUUCGGAGUUAUAAUUUAGGAGAUAUCGUUGUUUGAAUCCGGGUAUGUUGCUGUCCAAAAAAAACAGAUUUUUCAGGUGGGUGAACAGCAGUAGUAUUAGCAGUUUCUGGGAAUUUUUCGUGGGUAAUUAGUAUUAACCAGUAUUAUAAUCAUGUAGGGCUUUGUCUUAUCUUUCCAAUGAGUACUUAUGUGCUUGAUUUGGAAUUAUAUUUUAAAAGAUAUCGCUGUUUGAAUCCGGGUAUGUUGCUGUAAAAAAACAGAUUUUUCAGGUGGGUGAACAGCAGUAGUAUUAGCAAUUUCUGGGAAUUUUUCGUGGUUAAUUAGUGCUAACCAGUAUGAUAAUCAUGUAUGGCUUUGUCUUAUCUUUCCAAUGAGUACUUAUGCGCUUGAAUUGGAAUUAUAUUUUAAAAGAUAUCGUUGUUUGAAUCCGGGUAUGUCGCUGUCCAAAAGAGAAAAAAACAGAUUACAUGGUUCAUCUUGUGAACUGUUUUGGGCUAAUUAGAUGUUGGAAUUUAAUUAUAAAUUGUAUACAAAACUUGUGGGAAAUUUUAUGUAGAUGCCUCGGGAGUUUUUGUUUGUUACCAAUGCUGUCAUAAUUUUGAAGUUAUGAAAUUAUUAAGCAGCGCCGCUGCAGUUUGGUGGGUGUGGGGAGAGAUGUAACCCGCGGCGGGGUUUGAGUUUGUGCGUAGGUGCGGCGUCGUUUAUGAGCCUGGUUAUGUGAAAUUGGUGCACUAAGUUGUGUGUCAAAAACAGGUGGUGGACUACCGGAUCGUACUUAGGGAUUUGCCCAAACUUCCGGUAAAGGCAAGUAAAUACAGUGGUGGUUGCUACCGUUUGGUUUGCAUCCUAUUCCCUGUCAUUGAGUAUGCAUAAGUUUUAAAUAUGUUAAUCAUUGAAUUCUAUGAUGAAGUUUAUUUGUUCGAAAGUAUUAAUUCUCAAUUGUCUAAUAUUGUGGAUGAUCAUGAUUUGGUAAUGAUAUAUGUGGUUGAUUCCUAUCAUGGAUGGAGUUGAAGUAUUUUUUUUGAAUCACGUUAUAUGAAGUGUUGUAAGCAUGUCAUGCACAUUGCAUCAUCCAUCUUGCAUUCUGAAGUUAUGUCGUGAUCUUAUGGUCCGACUGUACCGGUACAUUUUUAGCAUCGUACGUUGCCCAAGGAGGGGUACGAUGCGGCUUUAUAUCCUUAGAGGUAUGAAGGCAGAAGUCAUCCUUGCAUUUGCAGACAUUUGCACUCAUGAGGUAUAUAUAUGAAGAGUGAUAUUACUAUGUUACUAUUGUGGUUUCUACCUGCGAGGUGUGGUAGCUAGGAGUGUUGUACGUUGUAUACGUGCUGCACCUUUGUAAUAAGAAGGUUGUGAAAUCAAGUGGUGGUAAAACAAUAUUCUUAUGUGGUUAAACAAUUUGAUAUUAUUUUACUUGCUAAGAUGUGUCAUCUCACUCUUGCAUUACUCAAUGCAGGUACUUGAUACAUGUUGGGAAUGAGGGGAGUAGCAGCACGUCCACUUUCACUCUCAUAAUAGCGCUGCCCAGGCGUAGCCAUGAUUUAAUUAGAAACUUGUUGUCAAAAGAAGUUUAUUUUUUUGCUAGUCAUGCGCACUGGUUAAUUCAGUUCAUGUCGUAUGUUUAACUUCCCUUUGCUAGCCGAUUAAUAAUACUUGGUAUGUUUUUGUCAUGAUAUAUGUUUAUACACUGUUGUCCCCCCCCUCAUUUAUGCAAUUUUGCAAAGGAGAUGCUGCCAA
rnacentral:lncRNA from 1 species